AGCUAUUGUAGGUUCCCUUGUGUCCUCAAGGAAAAUACGUGUACUCCGUAAGAGCGGAAAAUUCAGGCUUGCUUAGCCACCCAAGACGCUGCCCCCUGCCUACUCCAUCUCCAAGGAAGCGCCUGGGCCACUGGUCUGGUUGGCUAGCGAGGAUGGAGAGCACAGAGGAGUGACAUGAUUCCCAUCCUCAUUCUUUGGAGAGUUUGAUAGGAUAAAACUUUGUACUUUAAUUAGCUGGAAUCUGGCCAUACCCUUGAAGAGGACAAGGGAGCUACACACAAAAAAAAUGUAUUGGCAAGAGAUGCUUUGCACUGGACAAAGCAUUGAUCUUCUGUUUUCUUAAGCUUGUUGUGAAGGAAACACUAUCUGGAUAUUGAAUUUGAUUGGAGAUCAAAUGAAGGCAGUGAUCAUGAUCCAACACUUUGACUGUCAAGGACAAUGUGUUGCCAUGUGUGCAAAUCAGGAGUUCCGUCAUGAUUCAUGAGGUGCAGGGAAUAACUCAGAGCCAUGGCUUUCUUUACUAACCUAGCUGUGGUAUAGAUCCAGGUAGCUUUAUACUCACAUAUUGCUGUCUUCCAUAAACCUUUCCAUUUGCCAGCCAAUGUAAUGCGAUCCUUUUUCUCUAUCAUGUUUUCUAUCUGAAGUUUUAUUGUGCUCCGUAUUUUUCCAAUAUUGUUAUUCCUUCAACAAAAUCAACUGAUCCACACAUUACUUCCAACACAUACUUCAGUUUUUUUUCCAGAAACAGGAUGUGGCUUUUUUUACAGUAUUUCUGUUGAAGUCAGAUUUCAUAAAUCAAUUUAAACCAGCAUUACGAUGGGUCACCCUCGGAUGGCUGGGAAGUUAGCUAGAAGCCGAGAUUGAGCAGUAUUUUUUGGCAGUAACUGCUAGGAUGAUGGACAUGUGCAGUGUGAAAUCCCUUCCAGUGCCCAACUGCUAGGAUGAUGGACAUGCUCAUGGGAUACCCCUUAAGACAACGACGUCGAGCACUAUUCCGAUAACAAUUGACUGGAGUACUAUUAUGAGACAAUGUCCUAAGAGUAACUGAGAUAUAAACCUCUAUGGUUUGCAUACCAUAUAAACUUCUACUGGUCACACGAUAGAAGAUAUGCACUUGCUGUUGAUUAUGUAAAUGUUAUAUACUGAAGUACUAUUUUGAGCACUUGCUGUUGAUCAGGUAAAUGUUAUAUACUGAAGUACUAUUUUG